rnacentral:misc_RNA from 1 species
UCUCCGUAGGUGAACCUGCGGAGGGAUCAUUACAGAGUUCUCGCCAUCGCGGGUAGAUCUCGCACCCACUGUUAUCGUUACUGUCGUUUCUUUGCCGGGCCGCCGCGUCGCCGCCCGGCGGCGGCUAAUAGCCGGGGCGCGCCCGCCAGAGGCAUUCGAACCCUGAAUCUUAGUGUCGACUGAGCACUAUAUAAUAAAUAAAACAUUAAACAACCGAUCUCUUUGUUCUGGCAUCGAAAAAGAACGGAGCAGAAGGGCAGACGACACGACUGCAGUCCC